rnacentral:rRNA from 1 species
UGCAAGUCGAGCGGUAAGGCCCUUCGGGGUACACGAGCGGCGAACGGGUGAGUAACACGUGAGCAACCUGCCCCCGACUCCGGGAUAAGCGGUGGAAACGCCGUCUAAUACCGGAUACGACACACCGCCUCAUGGCGGUGUGUGGAAAGUUUUUCGGUCGGGGAUGGGCUCGCGGCCUAUCAGCUUGUUGGUGGGGUAACGGCCUACCAAGGCGAUUACGGGUAGCCGGCCUGAGAGGGCGACCGGCCACACUGGGACUGAGACACGGCCCAGACUCCUGCGGGAGGCAGCAGUGGGGAAUAUUGCGCAAUGGGCAAAUGCCUGAC